rnacentral:rRNA from 1 species
GACGAACGCUGGCGGCGUGCUUAACACAUGCAAGUCGAACGGAAAGGCCCUGCUUUUGUGGGGUGCUCGAGUGGCGAACGGGUGAGUAACACGUGAGUAACCUGCCCUUGACUUUGGGAUAACUUCAGGAAACUGGGGCUAAUACCGGAUAGGAUCUCCUGCUGCAUGGGGGGGGUUGGAAAGUUUCGGCGGUGGGGGAUGGACUCGCGGCUUAUCAGCUUGUUGGUGGGGUAGUGGCUUACCAAGGCUUUGACGGGUAGCCGGCCUGAGAGGGUGACCGGCCACAUUGGGCCUGAGAUACGGCCCAGACUCCUACGGGAGGCAGCAGUGGGGAAUCUUGCACAAUGGGCGGAAGCCUGAUGCAGCAACGCCGCGUGCGGGAUGACGGCUUUCGGGUUGUAAACCGCUUUCGACUGUGACGAAGCGUGAGUGACGGUAAUGGGUAAAGAAGCACCGGCUAACUACGUG